rnacentral:rRNA from 1 species
GUAUUUUGACUGUGCAAAGGUAGCAUAAUCAUUUGUCUUUUAAUUGAAGGCUGGAAUGAAGGAGGCGACGAAAUUUAGGCUAUUGGUUUGUAAAAUAAAAUUAACAUAAUGGUUAAAAGGCCUUUAUAAACUAAAGGGACGAUAAGACCCUAUAAAACUUUACUAUAAAAGGGGGUUUACUAGAUAAAAUUUAAAUUUAUAGUUUAGCUGGGGCGGUUUAUAUAAAAACAAUUGUAGUGUAAAUAUUUUAAAUAAAGUUUGAGAUCUCUAAUAGGAAAUAAAUAAGUUACUUUAGGGAUAACAGCAUAAUUUUCCCAGAGAGUCCUAAUUGGCGGGGGAGUUUAUGACCUCGAUGUUGAAUUGGGGGGUCUAGUGUGAGUAGAAACAUAUUAAGAUAGUC